rnacentral:rRNA from 1 species
AAACGACUCUCGGCAACGGAUAUCUCGGCUCACGCAUCGAUGAAGAACGUAGCAAAAUGCGAUACUUGGUGUGAAUUGCAGAAUCCCGUGAACCAUCGAGUUUUUGAACGCAAGUUGGCGCCCGAAGCCAUUCGGCCGAGGGCACGUCUGCCUGGGCGUCAC